rnacentral:rRNA from 1 species
ACUCAAAUGAAUUGACGGGGGCCCGCACAAGCAGCGGAGCGUGUGGUUUAAUUCGACGCAACGCGCAGAACCUUACCAGGACUGGAAAGCACCCGUUCAGGCGGCGAAAGCCGCUGGCCGCAAGGCGAGGGAGACAGAUGCUGCAUGGCUGUCGUCAGCUCGUGCCGUGAGGUGUCGGGUUAAGUCCCGCAACGAGCGCAACCCCUGUUGCUAGUUGAAUGUCUAGCGAGACUGCCCCCGCAAGGGGGAGGAAGGCGGGGAUGACGUCAAGUCAGCACGGCUCUGACGUCCUGGGCUACACACACGCUACAAUGGGCGCGACAAAGGGCAGCGAACCCGCGAGGGGGAGCGAAUCCCAGAAAGGCGUCCUCAGUUGGGAUUGCAGGCUGCAACCCGCCUGCAUGAACGUGGAGUUGCUAGUAACCGCAGGUCAGCACUACUGCGGUGAAUACGUUCCCGGGCCUUGUACACACCGCCCGU